rnacentral:lncRNA from 1 species
CUGCAGAGGGCUAUUCUGGCAGAACCUAAUAUCCUAAACUCCUUAAGUACCCUGAAUUUUAAAAUUGUGAUUGUAUUUGGCAGCGUUAAUCAAAAAUUGGAAGUACAUGGAAUUAGAACCUUUGGCCAGAGACUUUCCGAGUUGAAAGCCCUCCCUUAGAAAUAGCCUCUUCUAACCCCUGAAUUUCAUUAUCCAAGAAGAUCCAUGAGCUCUGGAGAGUUCAGGACCCAGGUCUCCUAAGGACUUCUGCUUCCCUGGCUUUCCUUCACAUCUUUCUGUCCUAAGGAUUUAAGACCAUGAAUUUGCAAAUGCUCUGCCUGAAGUGUGUACUGAAGCUCUGGAGACCUCACCCGGAUUCCCAGGGCCAUAAUUAUCAUAAUAAUGAAGUCAGCAUGGAUCAGCCUUACGUUCAUGGCCUCCAGGCCCUAUUCUCCUGCCUCACAGGGACCGGCCAGGAUCUCUAUCCUUACAGCACGUUGGAAUGUAUAUGCUCCUCUCCCCACAUCGCCUUAGGGAGCAGGCAGGUGUCAGGGGCAGCACAAGGACGGCCAACAGGACAGAAGACGGGUUGAAGAUCCGAGAGGCUGAGUCACUUCCACAAAGUAACACAGCUGAUUUUAAAUGCCUGCAUUCAGCAUCCCUGCAGCAGGCUCCAGGUGGAAUUCUAAUGGGACCAGCCUCCAGUCCCUGGACCUUAGCUGUGGAAGGAGAGAAGAGGACAUCUGCACCUCCUCUCAGAGAAAGCCUGAUGCCUACUAAAGGACUUGGGUGGUGGACACAGUGACCCUCAGUCUGGAGCUUGUUCACUGAACAUUGGAGACUAUCAUUUGCGCAGAUGGUCUUGGGCCUCUAUGAGCAGCAGGCUGCACCCCACAGUGACCUCCUCAUUCUACUCUGAGGCAUCUUCAUGAAAGCAGAUGUCCCUUGAAAAGCACCCAAGUGCAGUCUCAGCUGAUGAACUUCAGAGACGAUUGAGACAAAGGCUCUCGGUCCCCUCUGCCCUUGGAUGGUGCCUCUGGUAUGCACUUGGCCUCUGUGUCUUUAUUUAGACUGGUCACUUCACAACCCAUCAUGUCACCCCACCCCUAACCGUGCCCACUCUGGGUCCUCCCCUCAACUGCCUGACUUCCCACUUUGAGCUCAGCAAAGGCAAGAGAUGUUUUGUCUGCUUUGAUACCCUAAAUGCAUGGCGUGGAAGCUGGCACACAGUGGGCCCUUGAAAUUUGGGAGUGAAUAUGUGUAUAUAUUAUAUUCCAACCUCAGCUUUCCUCACUGCUCCUCAUAGUAGGAAUGGAUUGUAAAACUUCCCAGAAUGUUCAAGAGGAGAAAGGAGAGAAAGCAGCCUGGAAUUUGAGCUAAGGGGCCCACAGCCCAGCCACCAAGCCAUCUGUAAAAUGGGGUGGGAAUAUGACAUGAGCCACAGGGGUGCCAUGAGGGUUAAUGAGGUCACCGUGCG